CAGAAUAUUAUCUUACCUAAUAAUAGACAAACAUGUGAAUUGACCGUUCCUCCGCUACGCCACCAGCCUAUCAGAAGUGAUAUGCAAAUUAACCCAACAAAGAUGGCAAGUGACUGGGGCGGGAUGGUGG